rnacentral:antisense_RNA from 1 species
GAUUUGGAGUGCUGGAACGAAGAAGAGCAAAAGCUGCCUUCUGCGCGCGCCCGACUCCGCUGCCCGCCCCGCCAGGCCUCCGGGAGGUGGGGGCUGGGAGGCGUCCCCCGCUCCCGCCCCCUCCCCACCGUGCAAUGAAAGAUGAACUGGCGAGAGAAAGCGUUUGAUUUAUGAGCGUAGGACGAAUCGCAUCCUGGAGCUGCGCAGCCCUGGCCGCGGCCGGGACGCCCUGCUCCGCGCUGAGCUUGGGGCCAGAAACCAGCCAUAGUCCCCACACUCCGCCGCCGCAGCUGGGAUUUAGCGGAGGAAGGGGCGAGGGAAGGUAGGGAGCAAACCUAUGAAGAAACAUCGCGUUGUCAUUGGAACUUCCAAGCCUUUGCUGUUAAGAGCCAGGUUCUUAAAUCAACCCGCCCCACACACAUGUUGCUUACAUGCUGCGUUUUCUCACGGUCUGUUUUGCCUGAACCCAUCAACAGCUGGGAGAUUAAUCAACCACACUGAAAAUGUGGAGGGAUUUAUGGGGGAGGGGGUUGAAAUGUGGAUGUUUGAAACAAAAGUGUAUAAACAAAUGAAUUGUUGAUAACUUAGUUAUUGACCUGGAGACUGGUAGCUUAUUAAAGAAACUCCGUGUUACUCA